rnacentral:rRNA from 1 species
AUGGCCGUCGUGGGGAGGAUGAGGCUCGAUCUGACGGUGAUCGUGGCGGCGCUCGUGCUGCUGGCGGUGCUCGGCGAGGCGCGGCCGCUGGGGGGCGCCGACUGGGCGGCCGCCGGAGGGACCCCGCUGCCGGCCGCGGGCGGCGCGUCGAACGUGGUCCAGGCGCUCCGGCGGCUGUACAUGCAGCAGCUGGGCGGGCCGGGCCCCUCGUGCGGCACCAACAGCCCAAACGUCCACUGCCCGUAG